rnacentral:rRNA from 1 species
CAGCCAGUUGGCGGGGUAACGGCCCACCAAAGCGAAGAUCGGUAGCCGGCCUGAGAGGGCGCACGGCCACACUGGAACUGAAACACGGUCCAGACUCCUACGGGAGGCAGCAGUGGGGAAUUUUGCGCAAUGGGGGAAACCCUGACGCAGCAACGCCGCGUGGAGGAUGAAGCCCCUUGGGGCGUAAACUCCUUUCGACCAAGACGAUAAUGACGGUACUGGUGGAAGAAGCACCGGCUAACUCUGUGCCAGCAGCCGCGGUAAUACAGAGGGUGCAAGCGUUGUUCGGAAUUAUUGGGCGUAAAGCGCGUGUAGGCGGCUUUGCAAGUCGGGUGUGAAAGCCCUCGGCUCAACCGAGGAAGUGCGCCCGAAACUGCAGAGCUUGAGUACCGGAGAGGAUGGCGGAAUUCCCCAAGUAGAGGUGAAAUUCGUAGAUAUGGGGAGGAACACCGGUGGCGAAGGCGGCCAUCUGGACGGAUACUGACGCUGAGACACGAAAGCGUGGGGAGCAAACAGGAUUAGAUACCCUGGUAGUCCACGCCGUAACGAUGAGAACUAGGUGUCGUGGGUGUUGACCCCCGCGGUGCCGUAGCCAACGCAUUAAGUUCUCCGCCUGGGAAGUACGGCCGCAAGGCUAAAACUCAAAGGAAUUGA